rnacentral:tRNA from 1 species
GCCGCCGUGGUGAAAUGGUAGACACUGCAGAUUUAAAAUCUGUUGCUCGCGAGGGCGUACCGGUUCGAGUCCGGUCGGCGGUA